GAAGGGGGCUAGCGUUGUUCGGAGUUACUGGGUGUAAAGGGCGCGUAGGCGGCUUGACAAGUCAGGCGUGAAAUCCCCGGGCUUAACCCGGGAAUUGCGCUUGAUACUGUAUGGCUGGAGUCCGGGAGAGGAUGGCGGAAUUCCCAGUGUAGAGGUGAAAUUCGUAGAUAUUGGGAAGAACACCGGUGGCGAAGGCGGCCAUCUGGACCGGUACUGACGCUGAGGCGCGAAAGCGUGGGGAGCAAACAGGAUUAGAUACCCUGGUAGUCCACGCCGUAAACGAUGAGUGCUAGACGUCGGUGGGUAUACUCGCCGGUGUCGCAGCUAACGCUUUAAGCACUCCGCCUGGGGAGUACGGCCGCAAGGUUG
rnacentral:rRNA from 1 species